AUCAGCUGUACCAGUCCUUGUCCUCAAAGGACUGUGAGAUUGUGAAAGGCAGGAUUGUCACAAAGCAAGGAUAUGAAGUUUCACAGGAGGUGAUGAUUCUGUUUGAGGAGACUUUCCACACGGACAAUGACGAGAG